GACGGAGGAUGCAAGCGUUAUCCGGAAUGAUUGGGCGUAAAGCGUCUGCAGGUGGCAGUUCAAGUCUGCUGUCAAAGACCGGGGCUUAACUUCGGAAAGGCAGUGGAAACUGAACAGCUAGAGUAUGGUAGGGGCAGAGGGAAUUCCUGGUGUAGCGGUGAAAUGCGUAGAGAUCAGGAAGAACAUCGGUGGCGAAGGCGCUCUGCUGGACCAUAACUGACGCUGAGGCGCGACAGCGUGGGGAGCAAACAGG
rnacentral:rRNA from 1 species